rnacentral:rRNA from 1 species
UUGUAUGUUUGAUGUUCUAACGCAGGGCCCUGAAUCGGGCUCGCGGACAGUGCCUGGUGGGUAGUUUGACUGGGGCGGUCUCCUCCCAAAGAGUAACGGAGGAGCACGAAGGUUGGCUAAUCCUGGUCGGACAUCAGGAGGUUAGUGCAAUGGCAUAAGCCAGCUUAACUGCGAGACGGACAGGUCGAGCAGGUACGAAAGUAGGUCAUAGUGAUCCGGUGGUUCUGAAUGGAAGGGCCAUCGCUCAACGGAUAAAAGGUACUCCGGGGAUAACAGGCUGAUACCGCCCAAGAGUUCAUAUCGACGGCGGUGUUUGGCACCUCGAUGUCGGCUCAUCACAUCCUGGGGCUGAAGUCGGUCCCAAGGGUAUGGCUGUUCGCCAUUUAAAGUGGUACGCGAGCUGGGUUCAGAACGUCGUGAGACAGUUCGGUCCCUAUCUGCCGUGGGCGUUGGAUGAUUGAAGGGAGUUGCUCCUAGUACGAGAGGACCGGAGUGAACGAACCUCUGGUGUUCGGGUUGUCACGCCAGUGGCACUGCCCGGUAGCUAAGUUCGGAAUCGAUAACCGCUGAAAGCAUCUAAGCGGGAAGCGAGCCCUGAGAUGAGUCAUCCCUGACCCCUUGAGGGUCCUAAAGGGCCGUUGGAGACCACAACGUUGAUAGGUGGGGUGUGUAAGCGCGGUGACGUGUUGAGCUAACCCAUACUAAUUACCCGUGAGGCUUAACCAUACAACACCCAAGAAGUGUUCU